AAAUUAACAUUAUAACGGCGUAAAGAGUGGUCGCAUGCUAUCCAAGUAACUAAGAUUAAAAAGCAACUGAGUUGUCACAAGCUAAAGAUGCGGCAUAAGGCCUCUAUUCAAAGAAAAUCUUAGACUAACGAUCAAUUGAAGCCACGAAAGCCAGGGCCCAAACUGGGAUUAGAUACCCCACUAUGCCUGGCCCUAAAUCUUGAUGCUCGAUCUAACCGGAGCAUCCGCCCGAGAACUACGAGCACAAACGCUUAAAACUCUAAGGACUUGGCGGUGCUCCAAACCCACCUAGAGGAGCCUGUUCUGUAAUCGAUGAUCCACGAUUCACCCUACCAUUCCUUGCCCAAAACAGCCUAUAUACCGCCGUCUCCAGCCCACCCUCCAUGAAGGCCCAACAGU
rnacentral:rRNA from 1 species